UACGUAGGGUGCAAGCGUUGUCCGGAAUUAUUGGGCGUAAAGAGCUCGUAGGCGGUUUGUCACGUCGGCUGUGAAAACUCGGGGCUCAACCCCGAGCCUGCAGUCGAUACGGGCAGACUAGAGUGCUGUAGGGGAGACUGGAAUUCCUGGUGUAGCGGUGAAAUGCGCAGAUAUCAGGAGGAACACCGGGGGCGAAGGAGGGGAGAGGGGCAGGAACUGACGCUGAGGAGCGAAAGCGUGGGGAGCAAACAGG
rnacentral:rRNA from 1 species